UACGUAGGGUGCAAGCGUUGUCCGGAAUUAUUGGGCGUAAAGGGCUCGUAGGCGGUCUGUCACGUCGGGAGUGAAAACUCAGGGCUUAACCCUGAGCCUGCUUUCGAUACGGGCAGACUAGAGGUAUUCAGGGGAGAACGGAAUUCCUGGUGUAGCGGUGAAAUGCGCAGAUAUCAGGAGGAACACCGGUGGCGAAGGCGGCUCACUGGCCCGGUACUGACGCUGAGGUGCGAAAGCGUGGGGAGCAAACAGG
rnacentral:rRNA from 1 species